rnacentral:rRNA from 1 species
UCUUCCCUCUGGCGGCGUGCUUAACACAUGCAAGUCGAACGAAGCAUUUAGGACAGAUUACUUCGGUUUGAAGUUCUUUAUGACUGAGUGGCGGACGGGUGAGUAACGCGUGGGUAACCUGCCUUGUACUGGGGGAUAGCAGCUGGAAACGGCUGGUAAUACCGCAUAAGCGCACAAUGUUGCAUGACAUGGUGUGAAAAACUCCGGUGGUAUAAGAUGGACCCGCGUCUGAUUAGCUAGUUGGUGAGAUAACAGCCCACCAAGGCGACGAUCAGUAGCCGACCUGAGAGGGUGACCGGCCACAUUGGGACUGAGACACGGCCCAGACUCCUACGGGAGGCAGCAGUGGGGAAUAUUGCACAAUGGAGGAAACUCUGAUGCAGCGACGCCGCGUGAGUGAAGAAGUAAUUCGUUAUGUAAAGCUCUAUCAGCAGGGAAGAUAGUGACGGUACCUGACUAAGAAGCUCCGGCUAAAUACGUG